rnacentral:tRNA from 3 species
UUAUGGGGUAAGUUCCUCUCUUUACA